rnacentral:rRNA from 1 species
UGGGGAAUAUUGCACAAUGGGCGCAAGCCUGAUGCAGCCAUGCCGCGUGUAUGAAGAAGGCCUUCGGGUUGUAAAGUACUUUCAGCGGGGAGGAAGGCGAUAAGGGUAAUAACCUUGUCGAUUGACGUUACCCGCAGAAGAAGCACCGGCUAACUCCGUGCCAGCAGCCGCGGUAAUACGGAGGGUGCAAGCGUUAAUCGGAAUUACUGGGCGUAAAGCGCACGCAGGCGGUCUGUCAAGUCGGAUGUGAAAUCCCGGGCUCAACCUGGGAACUGCAUUCGAAACUGGCAGGCUAGAGUCUUGUAGAGGGGGGUAGAAUUCCAGGUGUAGCGGUGAAAUGCGUAGAGAUCUGGAGGAAUACCGGUGGCGAAGGCGGCCCCCUGGACAAAGACUGACGCUCAGGUGCGAAAGCGUGGGGAGCAAACA